AUUGAACGCUGGCGGCAGGCCUAACACAUGCAAGUCGAAUGGUAACAGGAAACAGCUUGCUGUUUCGCUGACGAGUGGCGGACGGGUGAGUAAUGUCUGGGAAACUGCCUGAUGGAGGGGGAUAACUACUGGAAACGGUAGCUAAUACCGCAUAACGUCGCAAGACCAAAGAGGGGGACCUUCUGGCCUCUUGCCAUCAUAUGUGCCCAGAUGGGAUUAGCUAGUAGGUGGGGUAACGGCUCACCUAGGCGACGAUCCCUAGCUGGUCUGAGAGGAUGACCAGCCACACUGGAACUGAGACACGGUCCAGACUCCUACGGGAGGCAGCAGUGGGGAAUAUUGCACAAUGGGCGCAAGCCUGAUGCAGCCAUGCCGCGUGUAUGAAGAAGGCCUUCGGGUUGUAAAGUACUUUCAGCGGGGAGGAAGGGAGUAAAGUUAAUACCUUUGCUCAUUGACGUUACCCGCAGAAGAAGCACCGGCUAACUCCGUG
rnacentral:rRNA from 1 species